rnacentral:rRNA from 1 species
CCUACGGGUGGCAGCAGUGGGGAAUAUUGGGCAAUGGACGCAAGUCUGACCCAGCAACGCCGCGUGAAGGAAGAAGGCUUUCGGGUUGUAAACUUCUUUUAAGGGGGAAGAGCAGAAGACGGUACCCCUUGAAUAAGCCACGGCUAACUACGUGCCAUCAGCCGCGGCAAUACGUAGGUGGCCAGCGUUGUCCGGAGUUACUGGGUGUAACGGGCGUGCAGCCGGGGAGAGGAGUCAGAGGUGAAAUCCACGGGCUCAACCCUUGAACGGCAUUUGAAACUGUUUCCCUUGAGUGGCGGAGAGGUACGCGGAAUGCCUGGUGUAGCGGUGAAAUGCGUAGAUAUUAGGCAGAACCCCGGUGGCGAAGGCGGAUUACUGGACGAAAACUGACGCUGAGGCGCGAAAGCGUGGGGAGCAAACAGGAUUAGAUACCCGGGUAGUC